GUGGGGAAUAUUGCACAAUGGGCGAAAGCCUGAUGCAGCAACGCCGCGUGAGGGACGACGGCCUUCGGGUUGUAAACCUCUUUUAGUAGGGAAGAAGCGAAAGUGACGGUACCUGCAGAAAAAGCACCGGCUAACUACGUGCCAGCAGCCGCGGUAAUACGUAGGGUGCAAGCGUUAUCCGGAAUUAUUGGGCGUAAAGAGCUCGUAGGCGGGCUGUCGCGUCGGCUGUGAAAACUGGAGGCUCAACCUCCAGCCUGCAGUGGGUACGGGCAGACUAGAGUGCGGUAGGGGAGAUUGGAAUUCCUGGUGUAGCGGUGGAAUGCGCAGAUAUCAGGAGGAACACCGAUGGCGAAGGCAGAUCUCUGGGCCGUAACUGACGCUGAGGAGCGAAAGCGUGGGGAGCGAACAGGAUUAGAUACCCUUGUAGUCC
rnacentral:rRNA from 1 species